CACUCAACUAAGGAUCAACAGUGGGAAGUUUACAGAUUUCUCUUGGAUGAAAAUUGUAGAGUUCCAUUAGCAAGUGCUAGAGGCAGAAAAGAAAUAGUGGACAGAGUGAGACGGACAUUGAUGGGCUGGUAAGAUAAUCUCUGCAUCCGAACACUGCUGGUGAGAAUCAUGGUUUGCUGUCUUAGAAUUACUCUCAAGCUGGACAUCUCAGCAUUGCAGGGGGAUUCUCCAACAUCUUU
rnacentral:misc_RNA from 1 species